ACUCUGCUUGGGAAGUGUGAACAACUGGAGAAGAGCAAAUGUCAGCUGCAAGAAGAGGUGACAAAACUCCACCACCAUUUGGAGACUUUGGUGCUGGAUGGCAGCCAAAGAGAACAGUGUACAGGAGAGGUGGCAGAAGGAGCUGACCAGGAAAGAAGUGCAAAGCUACAAGAGGUCAGCCUCGUUUUGCAAGCACAGGCAGCCCACCAGGCCCCACUAGGACAAACUGGAGACAUUCAUUGUGAAUCCAUGAGAAUCCAGUUGGAAGAAAGAAUUAAAAAUCUGGAAAGGGAAUUGGAGAGGGUCAAAAACACCCAACAAGAGAGAGCUUCUCGUAAAGAAGCAACUCAGGGAGAGAUGGAAAGGUACAAAGAGCUGUAUCUGGAGGAAGUGAAAACCAGAAGAUGCCUUGCCAAGAAACUGGAAAGGCUGGAAAAGCUUCUGAGGAUAGAGAGGAGGAAACUCCGGGUUAAUGAAGAGAAAGGAAGUCAGUCCCAGCUGGAAGAAA